rnacentral:rRNA from 1 species
AUGUACCGCCUGGGGAGUACGGUCGCAAGAUUAAAACUCAAAGGAAUAGACGGGGACCCGCACAAGCGGUGGAGCAUGUGGUUUAAUUCGACUAUACGCGAAGAACCUUACCUGGCCUUGACAUAGAAAGAAUUUAGCAGAGAUGUAAAAGUGCUAGUUUACUAGAGCUUUCAUACGGGUGCUGCACGGCUGUCGUCAGCUCGUGUCGUGAGAUGUUAGGUUAAGUCCUGCAACGAGCGCAACCCUCGUGUUUAGUUACUAACAGAUUACGCUGAGGACUCUACACAUACUGCCUGGGCAACCAGGAGGAAGGUGAGGACGACGUCAAGUCAUCAUGGCCCUUACGGCCAGGGCUACACACGUGCUACAAUGGGGUAUACAAAGAGCAGCGAUACCGCGAGGUGGAGCAAAUCUCAUAAAAUAUCUCCCAGUUCGGAUUACACUCUGCAACUCGAGUGUAUGAAGUUGGA